rnacentral:rRNA from 1 species
UACGGAGGGUGCAAGCGUUAUCCGGAAUCACUGGGUUUAAAGGGUGCGUAGGCGGUCUUGUAAGUCAGUCGUGAAAUCGCUGGGCUUAACCCAUGCAAUUGCGAUUGAUACUGUGAGACUUGAAUUAGGUUUAGGCAGGCGGAAUGUGGCAUGUAGCGGUGAAAUGCAUAGAUAUGCCAUAGAACACCGAUUGCGAAGGCAGCCUGCUGGGCCUAUAUUGACGCUGAGGCACGAAAGCGUGGGGAGCAAACAGG